rnacentral:piRNA from 1 species
UACUCUAGCCAGGGAAUUUGCCUAGUGGA